rnacentral:rRNA from 2 species
AUGAACGCUAGCGGGAGGCCUAACACAUGCAAGCCGAGCGGUAGAGAUUCUUCGGAAUCUUGAGAGCGGCGUACGGGUGCGGAACACGUGUGCAACCUGCCUUUAUCUGGGGGAUAGCCUUUCGAAAGGAAGAUUAAUACCCCAUAACAUAUUUGAUGGCAUCAUUAAAUAUUGAAAACUCCGGUGGAUAGAGAUGGGCACGCGCAAGAUUAGAUAGUUGGUGAGGUAACGGCUCACCAAGUCAAUGAUCUUUAGGGG